rnacentral:rRNA from 1 species
GACGAACGCUGGCGGCGUGCCUAAUACAUGCAAGUCGAGCGCAGGAAACUGACGGAACUCUUCGGAGGGAAGGCAGUGGAAUGAGCGGCGGACGGGUGAGUAACACGUAAGGAACCUGCCUCAAGGAUUGGGAUAACUCCGAGAAAUCGGAGCUAAUACCGGAUAGUUCAACGGACCGCAUGGUCCGCUGAUGAAAGGCGCUUCGGCGUCACCUUGAGAUGGCCUUGCGGUGCAUUAGCUAGUUGGUGGGGUAACGGCCCACCAAGGCGACGCUGCAUGGCCGACCUGGGAGGGUGAUCGGCCACACUGGGACUGAGACACGGCCCAGACUACUACGGGAGGCAGCAGUAGGGAAUCUUCCACAAUGGACGAAAGUCUGAUGGAGCAACGCCGCGUGAGUGAUGAAGGUUUUCGGAUCGUAAAACUCUGUUGUAAGGGAAGAACACGUACGAGAGGGAAUGCUCGUACCUUGACGGUACCUUACGAGAAAGCCACGGCUAACUACGUGCCAGCAGCCGCCGUAA